CCUACGGGUGGCUGCAGUGAGGAAUAUUGGUCAAUGGACUAGAGUCUGAACCAGCCAAGUAGCGUGAAGGAUGACUGCCCUAUGGGUUGUAAACUUCUUUUAUAUGGGAAUAAAAUGUUCCACGUGUGGGAUUUUGUAUGUACCAUAUGAAUAAGGAUCGGCUAACUCCGUGCCAGCAGCCGCGGUAAUACGGAGGUUCCGAGCGUUAUCCGGAUUUAUUGGGUUUAAAGGGAGCGUAGGUGGAUUGUUAAGUAAGUUGUGAAAGUUUGCGGAUCAACCGUAAAAUUGCAGUUGAAACUGGCAGUCUUGAGUACAGUAGAGGUGGGCGGAAUUCGUGGUGUAGCGGUGAAAUGCUUAGAUAUCACGAAGAACUCCGAUUGCGAAGGCAGUUCACUGGACUGCAACUGACACUGAGGCUCGAAAGUGUGGGUAUCAAACAGGAUUAGAUACCCUUGUAGUC
rnacentral:rRNA from 1 species